rnacentral:rRNA from 1 species
UACGAAGGGGGCUAGCGUUGUUCGGAAUUACUGGGCGUAAAGGGCGCGUAGGCGGUGUGUCAAGUCAGGCGUGAAAGCCCCGGGCUCAACCUGGGAACAGCGCUUGAGACUGGCACGCUCGAGUUCGGGAGAGGAUGGUGGAAUUCCCAGUGUAGAGGUGAAAUUCGUAGAUAUUCGCAAGAACACCAGUGGCGAAGGCGGCUCACUGGCCCGGUACUGACGCUGAGGUGCGAAAGCGUGGGGAGCGAACAGG